rnacentral:rRNA from 1 species
AGAACGAACGCUGGCGGCAUGCCUAACACAUGCAAGUCGAACGAGACCUUCGGGUCUAGUGGCGCACGGGUGCGUAACGCGUGGGAAUCUGCCCUUGGGUUCGGAAUAACAGCGAGAAAUUGCUGCUAAUACCGGAUGAUGACGUAAGUCCAAAGAUUUAUCGCCCAAAGGAUCGGACCGCCGUGGUAGUAGUUAGUCGUUGGGUUAGUGG